rnacentral:rRNA from 1 species
AGCACUGAAUGUCCUAGGGGGUAUUGCACUUACCGAAGACUAUCAAACUCCGAAUGCCGUUUUCUUUUACUUGGGAGUCAGACUGUGGGUGAUAAGAUUCAUAGUCAAAAGGGCAACAGCCCAGAUCGUCAGCUAAGGUCCCUAAAUGUACGUUAAGUGGUAAAGGAUGUGGGAUUGCACAGACAACCAGGAUGUUGGCUUAGAAGCAGCCACUCAUUUAAAGAGUGCGUAAUAGCUCACUGGUCGAGUGAUCCUGCGCCGAAAAUUUCCGGGGCUAAAACGUACUACCGAAGCUACGGCAUCAUUUAUGAUGGGUAGGGGAGCUUCGUAUGCAGGCUGAAGCAUGACCGUAAGGACAUGUGGACAGUAUACGAGUGAGAAUGUUGGCAUGAGUAGCGAGACGUGGGUGAGAAUCCCACGGGCCGUAAACCCAAGGUUUCCAGGGGAAGGUUCGUCCGCCCUGGGUUAGUCGGGACCUAAGCCGAGGCCGAAAGGCGUAGGUGAUGGACAACAGGUUGAUAUUCCUGUACCGCCAAUAAGCGUUUGAGAGAUGGAGUGACACAGUAGGAUAAGCUAACCGUACUGUUGGUUAUGUACGGCUAAGCAUUGAGGCAGUCUAAAUAGGCAAAUCCGUUUAGACAAUGCUAGGAUGUGAUGGGGAAGCCCUCCGGGGCGAAGUAGCUGAUUUCACACUGUCAAGAAAAGCUUCUAUCGAGUUUAAAGGCGCCCGUACCGUAAACCGACACAGGUGGGUGAGGAGAGUAUCCUAAGGCCAGCGAGAGAACUAUUGUUAAGGAACUCGGCAAAAUGACCCCGUAACUUAGGGAGAAGGGGUGCCUGUCUAUGACAGGCCGCAGAGAAUAGGCCCAAGCGACUGUUUACCAAAAACACAGGUUUCUGCUAAGUCGCAAGACGAUGUAUAGGAGCUGACGCCUGCCCGGUGCUGGAAGGUUAAGGGGAUCUGUUAGAGCAAUCGAAGCAGUGAACUUAAGCCCCAGUAAACGGCGGCCGUAACUAUAACGGUCCUAAGGUAGCGAAAUUCCUUGUCGGGUAAGUUCCGACCCGCACGAAAGGCGUAACGAUUUGGGCACUGUCUCAACAAUAGACUCGGUGAAAUUGUAAUCCCGGUGAAGAUGCCGGGUACCUGCGACAGGACGGAAAGACCCCAUGGAGCUUUACUGUAGCUUGACGUUGGGUCUUGGUACUACAUGUACAGGAUAGGUGGGAGACUAUGAAGCAUGGACGCCAGUCUGUGUGGAGUCAUCCUUGGGAUACCACCCUUGUAGUACUGGGAUCCUAACCAUAGGCCUUGAAUCAGGUCUUGGAACACCGUCAGGUGGGCAGUUUGACUGGGGCGGUCGCCUCCUAAAAAGUAACGGAGGCGCUCAAAGGUUUCCUCAGCACGGUCGGAAAUCGUGCGAAGAGUGUAAAGGCAAAAGGAAGCUUGAUUGCAAGACAUACAGGUCGAGCAAGGACGAAAGUCGGACUUAGUGAUCCGGUGGUACCGCAUGGAAGGGCCAUCGCUCAACGGAUAAAAGCUACCCUGGGGAUAACAGGCUUAUCUCCCCCAAGAGUCCACAUCGACGGGGAGGUUUGGCACCUCGAUGUCGGCUCAUCACAUCCUGGGGCUGUAGUAGGUCCCAAGGGUUGGGCUGUUCGCCCAUUAAAGUGGUACGCGAGCUGGGUUCAGAACGUCGUGAGACAGUUCGGUCCCUAUCCGUCGCAGGCGUAGGAAAUUUGAGAAGACCUGUCCUUAGUACGAGAGGACCGGGAUGGACGUACCUCUGGUGUACCAGUUGUUCUGCCAAGGGCAUGGCUGGGUAGCUAUGUACGGAAUGGAUAAGCGCUGAAAGCAUCUAAGCGCGAAGCCAACUUCAAGAUAAGAUUUCCCACCGUAAGGGUAAGACCCCAGGAAGACUACCUGGUUGAUAGGUCGAAGGUGUAAGUGCAGUAAUGUAUUUAGCUUAUCGAUACUAAUAGGUCGAGGACUUGACCAA